rnacentral:rRNA from 1 species
GACGAACGCUGGCGGCGUGCCUAAUACAUGCAAGUCGAACGAGAGCGACCGGUGCUUGCACUGGUCAAUCUAGUGGCGAACGGGUGAGUAACACGUGGGUAACCUGCCCAUCAGAGGGGGAUAACAUCCGGAAACGGAUGCUAAAACCGCAUAGGUCUUCGAACCGCAUGGUUUGAAGAGGAAAAGAGGCGCAAGCUUCUGCUGAUGGAUGGACCCGCGGUGCAUUAGCUAGUUGGUGAGGUAACGGCUCACCAAGGCCGUGAUGCAUAGCCGACCUGAGAGGGUGAUCGGCCACAUUGGGACUGAGACACGGCCCAAACUCCUACGGGAGGCAGCAGUAGGGAAUCUUCCGCAAUGGACGCAAGUCUGACGGAACAACGCCGCGUGAGUGAAGAAGGUUUUCGGAUCGUAAAACUUUUUUGUUAGAGA